rnacentral:rRNA from 1 species
GACGAACGCUGGCGGCGUGCCUAAUACAUGCAAGUAGAACGCUGAAGGAGGAGCUUGCUCUUCUGGAAGAGUUGCGAACGGGUGAGUAACGCGUAGGUAACCUGCCUGGUAGCGGGGGAUAACUAUUGGAAACGAUAGCUAAUACCGCAUAAUAUUGAAUAUCGCAUGAUAAUUGAUUAAAAGAUGCAAUUGCAUCACUACCAGAUGGACCUGCGUUGUAUUAGCUAGUAGGUGAGGUAACGGCUCACCUAGGCGACGAUACAUAGCCGACCUGAGAGGGUGAUCGGCCACACUGGGACUGAGACACGGCCCAGACUCCUACGGGAGGCAGCAGUAGGGAAUCUUCGGCAAUGGGGGCAACCCUGACCGAGCAACGCCGCGUGAGUGAAGAAGGUUUUCGGAUCGUAAAGCUCUGUUGUAAGAGAAGAACGAGUGUGAGAGUGGAAAGUUCACACUGUGACGGUAUCUACCAG